rnacentral:rRNA from 1 species
UACGGGAGGCAGCAGUGGAGAAUAUUGCACAAUGGGCGCAAGCCUGAUGCAGCCAUGCCGCGUGUAUGAAGAAGGCCUUCGGGUUGUAAAGUACUUUCAGUCGUGAGGAAGGUGUUAAGGUUAAUAACCUUAGCAAUUGACGUUAGCGACAGAAGAAGCACCGGCUAACUCCGUGCCAGCAGCCGCGGUAAUACGGAGGGUGCGAGCGUUAAUCGGAAUUACUGGGCGUAAAGGGCACGCAGGCGGUUAAUUAAGUUGGAUGUGAAAUCCCCGGGCUUAACCUGGGAAUGGCAUUCAAGACUGGUUAGCUAGAGUCUUGUAGAGGGGGUAGAAUUCCAUGUGUAGCGGUGAAAUGCGUAGAGAUGUGGAGGAAUACCGGUGGCGAAGGCGGCCCCUGGGACAAAGACUGACGCUCAUGUGCGAAAGCGUGGGGAGCAAACAGGAUUAGAUACC